rnacentral:misc_RNA from 1 species
UUGAAUAAACUUGGUUGGGUUGAUGCUGGCUCCUCGGAGCAUGUGCACGCUCAUUCCACUUUUAACCACCUGUGCACCUUGUGUAGAUCUGAACAACUCUCGGGGUAACUCGGUUAGAGGAUUGCUGUGUGUAAAAGCCAGCUUUCCUUGCGUUCAGAUCUAUGUCUUUAUAUACCCCAUAGAAUGUAACGGAAUGUAAUUGAUAGGCGUUACUGCCUUUAAAAUCAAAUA